GACGAACGCUGGCGGCGUGCUUAACACAUGCCAGUCGAACGGAAAGGCCCUGCUUUUGUGGGGUGCUCGAGUGGCGAACGGGUGAGUAACACGUGAGUAACCUGCCCUUGACUGUGGGAUAACUUUAGGAAACUGGGGCUAAUACCGGAUAGGAGCUCCUGCUGCAUGGGGGGGGUUGGAAAGUUUCGGCGGUUGGGGAUGGACUCGCGGCUUAUCAGCUUGUUGGUGGGGUAGUGGCUUACCAAGGCUUUGACGGGUAGCCGGCCUGAGAGGGUGACCGGCCACAUUGGGACUGAGAGACGGCCCAGACUCCUACGGGAGGCAGCAGUGGGGAAUAUUGCACAAUGGGCGGAAGCCUGAUGCAGCAACGCCGCGUGCGGGAUGACGGCCUUCGGGUUGUAAACCGCUUUCGCCUGUGACGAAGCGUGAGUGACGGUAAUGGGUAAAGAAGCACCGGCUAACUACGUG
rnacentral:rRNA from 1 species